AAAAAAAAGAAAAAAGAAAGAAAGAAAGAAAAAGAAAAAGUGGAAUGGGGCUGAGACAGAAGCCUUUGUCGGGAGUUCAGAGCGAAUACAUCAGAGUGUACGAUGCCGAAGACAAUUGAAAUGGAGUUAUGUGAGUUUUCAUACACCCACGUCCUUUAUGUCUUAGAAGCAUGUGAGCAACUCUCUACUUCAGGCCUACUGAUGAGUAAGGAAGGACUGAAAGGAAGAGAAACUCUAGGCUGCCUGAUGGUCCUCUUUCCUUUUACGUCAUCAUCCUCAGUAAACCCUACAGGGCUGGCCG